CCUCGGGGGCAGCAGUGGGGAAUAUUGGACAAUGGGCGAAAGCCUGAUCCAGCCAUGCCGCGUGUGUGAAGAAGGCCUUCGGGUUGUAAAGCACUUUCAGUGGGGAAGAAAGCCUUGGGGCUAAUACCCUCGAGGAAGGACAUCACCCACAGAAGAAGCACCGGCUAACUCCGUGCCAGCAGCCGCGGUAAUACGGAGGGUGCGAGCGUUAAUCGGAAUUACUGGGCGUAAAGCGCGCGUAGGCGGUCUGAUAAGCCGGUUGUGAAAGCCCCGGGCUCAACCUGGGAACGGCAUCCGGAACUGUCAGGCUAGAGUGCAGGAGAGGAAGGUAGAAUUCCCGGUGUAGCGGUGAAAUGCGUAGAGAUCGGGAGGAAUACCAGUGGCGAAGGCGGCCUUCUGGACUGACACUGACGCUGAGGUGCGAAAGCGUGGGUAGCAAACAGGAUUAGAUACCCUGGUAGUC
rnacentral:rRNA from 1 species